AUUUCAGAUAAAUUGACAUUGCGUGCAAUCAUACAUACAUCCGCAAUAUGCCAGAGGUAUUUUAUUAUUAAUACGAAUCACAUGACAUAUUCUCAUCCGUUUAGUAUAUAAACGAAGAACAUCCAAUAUCGUUCUCAUAAAACUAAAACUAUUCCAAUAUCAUACAUCACCACAAACUCAAUUUCAACCGUUUUAUUAAAAUGUGGAAAAUUACAAUUUCCAUACUGUUUAUCACGCUUGCAUUGUGCGUUUUAAACGUUCAAAGUAAUCAAUGUACUAAUACUUGCAUCGGUGUGAGCAAUUGCAUACCGGUGCCGAGUAACUGUCGGGAAAUUGGUGGCGCCGUAGAAAAUUACCCGGAAUGUGCGUGUUGUCCAUCAUGUGUAUACAGAGUUGAUGAUGGUGAAUAUUGUGGGUAUAAUUCUACCGUUAAUGCGCUGCAAGUUUGUGAGUGUGGAUCUAAAUGCACAAAUUUAAAAGAUGGCGGUGUUUGUGUGCAAGAUUCAGAAUCUGAUUGCGAUUCUAGUUCAAGCUACAGUUCAUUUAGUUCUGAAUCAGAAUCAGAUUCAGAUACAAGUUCUGACUCAAAUACAAAUUAAUGAAAAGUAAUUUGAUUUCUGACAAAAUUCUGCAAUCAUAAAUAAAAUAAAAGCAAAUA